UUUUUUUUUAACUUUUGAUGACUUUUCUUUUUUUUUUAAUAUUUUUUUAAUAUUUAUUUCUUAGUUUUCGGCAGACACAACAUCUUUGUUUGUAUGUGGUGCUGAGGAUCAAACCCGGGCCGCACGCAUGCCAGGCGAGCGCGCUACCGCUUGAGCCACAUCCCCAGCCCAUUUGAUGACUUUUCAACAACAAAAUAUAUCACCUGAACACACUUUCCCAAUGAAGAUGUCUGCUGUUUACUAUCAGAUGUGGGAGAGCUAGACAGACAAGGAGGCAGCCACUGCCACGUACCUACUUGCUUUGCCAAGAUUUCCUGCUGACAGCAAAGAGCCAACAGUGGUGGGCAGCAGCAGAUACCAUACUGGACCCCUGCCCAACUCACUCAGGGACCAAGAGCUCAAGAUUUUGAGGAGAUUAAACAAAAAUGUAAUUACAGCUCACAGGUCUGGUAGCCUCUACCUUCCAAAGUAAACUCAUAUACUAGUAAGUGCCAAAUUCAAAAAGUGACCACUUUGUAGCAAUAACAAGGGAGAAACAUUCUGGUUUGAAACAAAAGGGAGUUGUUGCAGAAGCUGUACAAGCCCCAGAGUUGCACUAAGAAACUAGAGACCAUGUAAAACUGGGCCCUAUCAGAAAAGCAGCAGACAUUCAGCUUAUUGUUUCUCUCCUAGAGAGAACAGAGUUGGCAAUGUUGCAGCAGCAGUGUGGGUGACAGUAUUGGAGGUAAGUGGUGGAAGUAAUAAUAAAAGACAGUUCAGUUACUCAAGUCCUCUACAUUCCUGCAGUUAUUAAGCUAAGUACUUUUUAUGUACAAUCUUCAAAACAACCCUGCCAGGUAAGAUUUGCUACUUCCAAACUAAACAGCAUUUCAACCCAAAAUUUUAAUUUUAAAGAAUGUAAUAUUCUUUUCAAUGUUUUUCUUUUGCAACAAACAGAAGUUAUGAGAAAAAAAUAGCUUACUUUUAAUAUGUCAAUUAAAUCUUGAAUAUAAGAAGAAACCACCUCCCUUUUCCCCAAAAGGUCAUUCACUAAAAUAUUCAGUCCCUACUUUCUAUAGAACAAGCAUAAAUAGCAAAAAGAAAUUAUGGUCACAGAAGCAGCACUUUGAGGGAAUUGUCCAAAGGCCCAGAGACUUUUGAGAAGAGGCUACUGAGGUAGCUAAAAUGACCCCAACAAAGACAGAAGUUUAAGUAAUAUAAGAAGAUGGGUAAACAGUGCAUAUAAUCUUUUAACUUUCCAUAAGCCCUACACUCAAACCUCCAUAUAAUUCUUGAGAUCAACAAAUGUUCCUCCAGGCUCUUCUCAAAAUACUUUAGGGCUGCUGGGGACUCCUGUUAUGCCUUGUUAGCAGGUCAUCUUUAGGGCAAUAAAGAAGAUUCAAGAUUCCUGCUCUCCAGGGGCUCUGGAAGUUCUGAAUGGUAACAAGAGAUGAUCAAAACUUGAAAAGACACCUGUCUUUUACUUACAUCCGUGUACAAUUAUCUUUUGGAGAUACUCCAAACUAAGUUUUCUUCAAUAGCCACCUACUUUCAUCCCAAUAUAAUCAUUAAAUUUAUGAUCGUUUGGAUUGGCAAGAAAAUCAAAUCCACCAAGAUCAAAGUUAAUCAGAGCCAAAAAAAAUUGCACCAAUUAUUCAACUGUCCCUCUCCAAUAUCAAGUGUGUCAGAAAGCAUCUCAGUAUAAAUCAGAAUUCUCAAUUAAGUUACAAUGAACUUAAGCUAAUUUAAACAGAAAGAGAUUUGUGAUUAGAUAUUAGGACAAUCACAAAAUCUCUAAAAGGACAUGAAAACUAUACUUGGAUGCCCCAAAGCCAGAAAGGAAUACCCAAAGACAUCUAGGAACCAUUCUAGAGAAAGCACUACUGCCACUGUCCAUUCUAUCACAUGUUGCUUUGCAAGUCCCUUGCUCUAGCUUACUACUCAGAAGAGUACCUGCCAUUGUUGCCUUCUAGACCAGAAAUGUCCAAUAGAACUUUUAUGAUGAUAGAAAUGUUCUGUUGUUAUGCUGUAUACUAGUUACAUAGCUACUGAGCUCUUGAAUGUAGCUAGUGAGACAAAGGAGCUGAACUUUUUAUUUCCAUUAAUUUUAAUUAAUUUAAAUGGUUACAGUUUUGAACAGAGUAGUCUAAAUGCUCAAUACUGUCCAUGGCUCACAUCUGCAUCCCAACUCCACUCAGAUAUAUAUGCAGAACCAAGGGAAUCUAGUUCUUAUAGUGUACUGUAGUAACUAUGAUUCUACCUUAGGAAACAGGGACUCACAAUUUGCAGGCUAACCAAAUGUAACCCCGAAUGAAAGAUUUUCAAAAGAUUCUGGGCAGCUGCAAAUGAUACACACACACUAUGAUAGCCCUCUGAAAACUAGAGCUCCUCCAAGUAUAUGUAAUGUGCAGGUGACUUUGGAAAUGCCUAGUUUUACUGGGUAAGAGGUGAUUGUUCCAGAAGUGAAGGAAUCAAAACAAGAAAAGGACAGAAGAGUUGAUUUUUAUACUGUGUAGAUGUGCAGGCAAUGUAAAAAUUUUCAACUAGUCUUUUAUUAAGCCCUGACUAUGACUCUGCCUGGGGUGUGCUAAGAAAUAGAGUGAAUUUUAAACAGAAUAGGGACAAAACUCUAGGGAAUGGAGAAGUGAUUUUUAAAAAUUGUUUGCCUAUUUUUAGUAAUGAACAAUUACAUUGGUUUCCUAAUUAGUGCUCAAUAAAGUGACAGCAUAACAAUAAUUUUUUAAAAAUUUAUAUGUCAACAUUUCACAAAAAAAUAAUUAUUUUCAAAAAAUGAAUUGAGGGCUGGGGUUGUGGCUCAGUAGUAGAGCACUUGCCUAGCAUGUGUGAGGCACUGGGUUUGAUUCUCAGCAUCACAUAUAAAUAAAUAAAAUAAAGGUCCAUUGACAACUGAAAAGUGUAUAUAUAUAUUAUAUAUAU
rnacentral:lncRNA from 1 species